GAGAGCGCAUGUGGCCCGGUGGCUGUCGCGGUCUUCAAAACCGUUGGGCGGAGUGACGAACUACGCCGGUGGGUUCGACUCCCACGCGCUCUC
rnacentral:tRNA from 17 species